rnacentral:tRNA from 1 species
GGGGCUGUCGGCUAGCUUGGUCUAGGCUCCGAGACUCGGGCUCUCGGGACGGGAGUUCAAAUCUCCCCAGCCCCACCA